rnacentral:misc_RNA from 1 species
CAGAGUUGCAAAACUCCCAAACCAUCGCGAACUUACCGUACCGUUGCUUCGGCGAGGGGCUCCGGGGAGGAGCCGCGGCCCUAACGGGUGCUCGCCGCAAGCCCAAUAACUCUGAAUUCUUGGUAUCUCUGAGUAUAACAUACAAAUAAGUUA